AUCCUGGCAAAGGAAUGAUGUUGAAGUAUUAUGCCUGCUUGCUAGCGACCAGCUGUUCACAGCAUGCAAUAUGACUGCAUUAGCUGAACUGUUACAGUGAAGGCAGGUCAGGGAAGAAGAAGGAGUCAACGUUUACUUUUAGAUCUAAUCUAUCAAAAGAGAUGCAGCAGAUUUCACACAAAAAUGUGGAGAGAAAUUACCAAUGGAGUGAAGUUAUGUUCAUUUGAAAUAUGCUGAGGUGCCCAGUAGGUAAGAAUCUCUUGUCAGCUGAGGGAAGAGGUAGGAUGUUGGAUUUUUAUUUCUUUUAUCUUGGGAGCUGGCAGGACGUAAAAGAUUAAAAAGUCAGUGCACUGGAUGUAUUGGUCUUGUCAUCUCCGAUUCAGCCUAAUUAUUAAUAUGCUGUGUGGACAGCAGUGCUUUAUUAAUUGUAUCAGUAGCUGGUGAUCAAUGUGACAAGUCAAGUAAAAGAGCACUGCUAUUCAUCAGAGUUGUCAAAGGAUAAUUGUCCUCAUAUGCAUUAGAAUAAGUCAGAGGAAGAAAGUUUAUGGAAUGAAUGUGUUCCUCUUACUACAUUUAGGGUGAGCUCUGUAGGUGUCAACACAAUUAAAAUUAGAAGGGGCCUGCAUGUAACAGAAAAGAAAUCAUAGUUUGGUAUUCAGUGAUGCCAAAACAAAGUAAAGUA